rnacentral:rRNA from 1 species
GACGAACGCUGGCGGCGUGCUUAACACAUGCAAGUCGAACGGAAAGGCCCUGCCUUUGUGGGGUGCUCGAGUGGCGAACGGGUGAGUAACACGUGAGUAACCUGCCCUUGACUUUGGGAUAACUUCAUGAAACUGGGGCUAAUACCGGAUAGGAGCUCCUGCUGCAUGGUGGGGGUUGGAAAGUUUCGGCGGUUGGGGAUGGACUCGCGGCUUAUCAGAUUGUUGGUGGGGUAGUGGCUUACCAAGGCUUUGACGGGUAGCCGGCCUGAGAGGGUGACCGGCCACAUUGGGACUGAGAUACGGCCCAGCCUCCUACGGGAGGCAGCAGUGGGGAAUAUUGCACAAUGGGCGGAAGCCUGAUGCAGCACAGCCGCGUGCGGGAUGACGGCCUUCGGGUUGUAAACCGCUUUCGCCUGUGACGAAGCGUGAGUGACGGUAAUGGGUAAAGAAGCACCGGCUAACUACGUG